ensembl:lncRNA
CAGGCGCAACCCUGGUUGCCCCUCGCUCUUCCUGGAUCUGCGUUUCUGUCUGACCUCUUUGUACUGACUCUCCCGCCAGGCUCUCCAGCUGGAGGCACAUUUGGUUUUGCAUCCCAGGAGAGAUCCAACAGGGCUUCUCAUACCCUGUGCUUUUCCAGUAGACUCGAAGACCAGAUAUUACGAAGUGCGCUCUGGGAUCGCUCGAGGAGCACAGAGCUUCCUCUCCCUGUUUUGGUCGGGGGUGAUUUAUCUCAGAGCUGGCGAAAGCGUCCUCCCGGCCCCGGCACCUGCAACUUGUUAGGGUUUCUUCUCAGUCCUGCCUCCUCUCUGUGCGGUGAGUGGAUAGCGGUGCGUGCAGGGUGGCAGCGGCGGCGGAGAUUGGAGGGAUCAGGCAGAGCAGAAGAGAAGGAGCUGCUGCCAGGGGCUCGCAGGUCCCUGGGUAACCGUUUGCCAGGCGAAAGAGCUGGUGGAGAGAAGCGCUUGGCACGAGCGCUCUGCAGGACCCAAGCUUCAGGCUGCACGGGAUCCGUGAGUCCGCUGCUGCGGAAGGAGCUGAGGGGAGGAAGCCAACUGCUGCUUACUGGAGCCUGGAGGAAGAAUACUCUGAGAGAAUAUUUUUAUAAGGGAUUUUCCUCAAACUAUGGAUGAUAUUUUUCCCUGGAAAUUGCUUAUUUAUCAUGUUGUCUUCCAGUAUGUGGGUGAAUUAAUGAUACCAUUUGACUACCACCUCUAACUACCACCACCUCAAACACUUGGGUAGGUUUAUUUUAUUUUUUUCCAAAUUGCCACUUUUCUGUUUUGCAAAUAAUUUUAUAGUGGGUGGUUUCUGACAAUAAAACUGGACCUAUGUAAUUUUCUG